rnacentral:misc_RNA from 1 species
CCAGUCUUACUUCCAUCUCUUGAUUGAAGGUGGUGAUAAAGAUCGACCUUUUAUCUGAUCCCUAUUAGUUGAAAUAAGAAUUUUUUUUUUUUUUAUUUUUGUUUUGCGUGUGUGCAUUUGUCAUUUUUAUUUUCCAUAAUGGGAUUUGUCAUGUGUAAUUUGUUCAACUGGGGAUAAGAAGAAGUUGUUUGAUACCCAGUCUUGUUUCCUUGUAGAAGCUGGUGAGAUAUCUUUCUUAACUGGUCCUCUAUAGCUAUUUAUUAGCUCUAUUUCUUUUUCCUUUUUGGUGUGUGGGGUGCAAUCAUUUUUAAAAUUAACAAACGGAUAUAUGCAAUGAGGUGUGAUGAUACUUAUCCACCAUUUCUGCUAUUGAAUGAUGAAUGCUAUACAUGCACUACCAUCUGAUCUCGGUUGCAUAUAUGCCUAAACAUGUAUUUGAAUCGAAUUUUAGAUUAAUGUUUUUAUUAAGUUUUAGUUGAUCUUUGAUUCUUAUGCUGCAAUCUAUGAUGUAAUUUAUUUAUUGGUUCGGAUUUACUGUGAUGAUCAUAAAAAAAUCACCAUCUUUCG